AAAGCAAAUGUUUUGGGCUUUGCUUCUACAUUGGGAUCACUGAGUGGGUAAGGUUUAGAGGCCAAGAUAAAAGCACCUGUUCACAGUGUGUAGCCUCUCAGGAUGGUCUGUUGGUAAAUUUUGACCAUGUUAAGCUGUUUAUCUUUAUGUGCUGCUUCAUUCCCAGCUGUUUCCAGUUUGUUUAAUUGAGCUGCUAAGCAGAAGCAGCUUUUAAAGAGGGAAAGGCAGCUGUAAUCCAUCACAGAUUUGUUCGUUGGUUUUUUGGGGUUUUUUGGUGGGGUUUUUUUUGGUUUGUUUUUUUUUGGGGGGUAGGGACUCAUGAUAUAAGACUAGCAUGGGGAUAUGUAAAUUCUUUUGAAAGAAAAGUUCACUGUAGGCUGGAGUUUCUGCCUACUGAUCACCAUGGAAAGCAGACACUUUUUUGGUAAUUCUAGUGUGAGUUCUGGAUGUUGAGCAGUUUUUGGAGAUCUGGCUGAAUUUAUGUGCCUUUUAUACCUGGUAAGCACCUGCCUGAUAUAAAUCACACUCUGUUUGUCUAUUGUGUUAAUCUGAGUGUAAGAUGAGGUGGUUUAUUUUUUUUUUUAAUUAAGAUCUGAAGAAGGUUGUUUGUGUUGUAUUGAGGCUUUGGUUGAUGUACACAUCACCUGUGCAAUUCCCAAGUGCCAGGAAUGUCUUUUGGCAUUCUGGCUGGUCAGAGCAGGGUAGGCACUAGUGCUGGGCCUGGAUAUUCCAGAACUGAGAGCUAAGAUCUGCUUAAGGAAGGGUCUAGAUAGACCCUUUAACACAUAUUCACCCAAAUAUUUUCAUGCAAACUUGGCUGUACUGUUCCCAACAUCUGGUCAGGGUUACCAGAUGAUUCUAUUUUAAUGAUUCAGAAAGAAAACUUCCUCCCCCCCACCCAAGAAUAUAGAAAGGAUGGAGUACUGAUAGUGUAAAAGACCUUAAAGAUUUCUUUAAGUGAGCUGCCACUAGUAUAAAAUCUUCUGCCUUGAGCCAACAGCAUUAUGGAGUAAAAUAUCAUUCAAGUAUCACUACAGCAAAUGGGAGUAUCCAUUAGCAUUACAGGAAAAUGUUUCCUUUUUAUACAAUGAGAGCUUUCUAUAUUUUAUAGAUUUCUCAUUACUGCCAGCAGUGUGAUUCCAUUAAAAAAACCCCUGAAAACCAGAAAGGAAGCUGGGUAGAAGUACAGGCAAAGGGGAAAUUAACAAAAUCCAUUAACUUUUUUCAGUGAUUUUUGUCUGUAUUGAAUCCUCUGGUGCUUUGGAGAAUCUCACUCUCUGGUGUCAUCCUUUUGCAAGAGCUGUACGAGUUGGUAUGACUGCAAGCAAAGUUGUAGUUUGCAUCUCAGUGUGUGUUAAAAAUCCAUAUUUUUUCAAGAUUAAAAGUUAAUUUCUAAAGCAAUAAGCAUUGCAUAUGCAGAUAUA